AAGACUAUACUUUCAGGGGUCAUUCUAUAGUUCAUUACUUGAGAAGUUUCUCUGAACUUGUAGAGCACCCAGAACCAUGAGGAGGAUGCACAGUGUUCUCUCCUGAGCAUGAAGCCAGCUUUUGAUGUUACUUUUGCAACUACCAAUAGCCAUUGAUAAUCUCUCUUCUCUUCCUUUGGAAGAGUAAGAGGGAGAGAAUGCAGUCUGAGUGGU